GUCCUCCAUGCCCCUCCAUCCCAUCUAAACUCUGGUCCCCGUGGUUGCAACAUGAGGAAAAGUAGCAUUGGAACUUACUUCCAGUAUUUUGCAGCACAUAGGCUAGUUUCUAACAAAC
rnacentral:snoRNA from 1 species